rfam:Candidatus Staskawiczbacteria bacterium RIFOXYB1_FTLL_37_44 rifoxyb1_full_scaffold_298, whole genome shotgun sequence.
GGGCGGUUAGCUCAAUUUGGUAGAGCGCGAAAUUGACGUUUUCGAUGUUAUAGGUUCGAGUCCUAUACCGCCCA